rnacentral:rRNA from 1 species
GCACAAGCGGUGGAUGAUGUGGAUUAAUUCGAUGCAACGCGAAAACCUUACUACCCUUGACAUGUCCGGAAUCCCGAAGAGAUUUGGGAGUGCUUGCAAGAGAGCCGGAACACAGGUGCUGCAUGGCUGUCGUCAGCUCGUGUCGUGAGAUGUUGGGUUAAGUCCCGCAACGAGCGCAACCCUUGUCAUUAGUUGCCAUCAUUUGGUUGGGCACUCUAAUGAGACUGCCGGUGACAAACCGGAGGAAGGUGGGGAUGACGUCAAGUCCUCAUGGCCCUUAUGGGUAGGGCUUCACACGUCAUACAAUGGUCGGUACAGAGGGUUGCCAACCCGCGAGGGGGAGCUAAUCCCACAAAGCCGAUCGUAGUCCGGAUCGCAGUCUGCAACUCGACUGCGUGAAGUCGGAAUCGCUAGUAAUCGUGGAUCAGCAUGUCACGGUGAAUACGUUCCCGGGUCUU